UACAGAGGGGGCAAGCGUUGUUCGGAAUUACUGGGCGUAAAGAGCUCGUAGGCGGUUUGUUGCGUCGGCUGUGAAAUCCCGAGGCUCAACCUCGGGUCUGCAGUCGAUACGAGCAAACUAGAGUGUUGCAGGGGAGACUGGAAUUCCUGGUGUAGCGGUGAAAUGCGCAGAUAUCAGGAGGAACACCGGUGGCGAAGGCGGGUCUCUGGGCAACAACUGACGCUGAGGAGCGAAAGCGUGGGGAGCGAACAGG
rnacentral:rRNA from 1 species